GAUGCUUUGCGGUUUCCAUCUUGGAACAGAAGUAAUUUAAAAAUCUUUUGAAUUCUUCUUAAGUUUCCGGCAUAUGUAGGCAGGUAUUCUUUAUUGGUUCCUGGAGCACUUAUGGGUGCAUAUAGCAGGUUUAACAACAAACAACAACAAAUUUAUUUUUGUAUAGUGCAUUAUCAUAACAUUACAUCGUCUCAAAUCGCUUUACAGCAUCCCCACCCAAAGCCCCCAGUGAGUAAGCCAAAGGCGACAGUGGCAAGGAAAAACUCCCAAGAAGGAAGAAACACCUUGGGAGGGACCAGACUCAAAGGGGGAUCCCAUCCUCCAGGGGCCGGCAGGGAGAGUCAGCAUGUUAACAAUGAUACAACAGACACACCGAUACAUUCUUAAUGUAUUACUUUGAAUUAUGCUUAGGUACAAUACAAGAUGGGUUUGUGGGGGGGGGGAGUUUAAAUUCCCAAGCCUAAAACUUAAAUGAAUUUCUGAAUAUGAAACAGGGUCUUUGUUGUGUUUGGGGCAUAAUGUGUUCUUCAUAACCAGCAGCAACACAGGCCUGGUUUGCUGGUUCAUGCCAUUCAUGGCCCAGUCUCCCCAUUGUCACCAGCCUAACCUGACACUUGACGUCAUUUGUUUACUUACUGGCAUGAGCUCUGACUUUAUCUCAGUCAAAUCAUGGGUCAGUCCAUCACGGGGCUGGGGUACACCCUGGGCAGGGUGCCAGUCCAUCACAGGGCACGGGGCUGGGGUACAGCCUGGACAGGGUGCCAGUCCAUCACAGGGCACGGGGCUGGGUUACAGCCUGGGCAGGGUGCCAGUCCAUCACAGGGCACGGGGUUGGGGUACACCCUGGGCAGGGUGCCAGUCCAUCACAGGGCACGGGGUUGGGGUACAGCCUGGGCAGGGUGCCAGUCCAUCACAGGGCACAAGGCUGGGGUACACCCUCGGCAGGGUGCCAGUCCAUCACAGGGCAUGGGGAUGGGGUACACCCUGGGCAGGGUGCCAGUCCAUCACAGGGCACGGGGAUGGGGUACACCCUGGGCAGGGUGCCAGUCCAUCACAGGGCACGGGGUUGAGGUAAACCCUGGGCAGGGCGCCAGUCCAUCACAGGGCACUGAAAUCCUGUUAUUCCUUCAUGCAGACUCUAGCUUUCAGCCCAGGUACUAAAUAGUCAAAUUUGCUACAAAACAAGUUUUUUCCACAAAAAGAAAUCUGUUGGCUAGCUUUGCUAACCCAGGUCCUAUGCCUGCCUCUACCUCUGAAUGAAACGGUGAUCUAAGAUAAAUGCAACUGACUCCAGUGAAGCCUGCAUAGACUCGACCUGCAGAUAGGGGGUGUAAUUAGCUCCAGAGCAGAUGAAAGUGCAAAUGUAUGGCGCUACUUAUGGCACAAAGACCUCCCUUCAUGGGGCAGGUCCUGGAGUGGUGGGGGAAGCCAAGACGGGAAUCCCUUUGGGAUUCCCAGGAUGAAUAAAUCAAACCAUUUUGAACAUUCUGAUGGUGGAUUUUGUAUAGGAGAGUUCAGAAUUUUGCUCCCACCAAACCCAUACUGGUUAGGGUUAGGGCUAGGUAAUGCAUGGAAGAGGUGGAGUGGAAUUAAGGCGGGAAUGACCUGUCUCCAUGGAGCCCCUGGAUGACAUGGCAGGCCGCCCUGCUCAUUUAUGCAGAGCUGAGUGGGGAGUGUGUACUUCUGUAAUGUGUGGAAGAGGUGGAGUGGAAUUAUGGCGGGAAUGACCUGUCUCCAUGGAGCCCCUGGAUGACAUGGCAGGCCGGCCUGCUCAUUACUGCAGAGCCGAGUGGGGAGUGUGUGCUUCUGUAAUGUGUGGAAGAGGUGGAGUGGAAUUGAGGCGGGAAUGACCUGUCUCCAUGGAGCCCCUGGAUGACAUGGCAGGCCGGCCUGCUCAUUACUGCAGAGCCGAGUGGGGAGUGUGUGCUUCUGUAAUGUGUGGAAGAGGUGGAGUGGAAUUAAGGCGGGAAUGACCUGUCUCCAUGGAGCCCCUGGAUGACAUGGCAGGCCGGCCUGCUCAUUACUGCAGAGCCGAGUGGGGAGUGUGUGCUUCUGUAAUGUGUGGAAGAGGUGGAGUGGAAUUAAGGCGGGAAUGACCUGUCUCCAUGGAGCCCCUGGAUGACAUGGCAGGCCGGCCUGCUCAUUACUGCAGAGCCGAGUGGGGAGUGUGUGCUUCUGUAAUGUGUGGAAGAGGUGGAGUGGAAUUGAGGCGGGAAUGACCUGUCUCCAUGGAGCCCCUGGAUGACAUGGCAGGCCGGCCUGCUCAUUACUGCAGAGCCGAGUGGGGAGUGUGUGCUUCUGUAAUGUGUGGAAGAGGUGGAGUGGAAUUAUGGCGGGAAUGACCUGUCUCCAUGGAGCCCCUGGAUGACAUGGCAGGCCGGCCUGCUCAUUUAUGCAGAGCUGAGUGGGGAAUACGUCACUUGUCACUUAAGGCUGAAUUUAAAGAGGCGUAGUCAUGUUUGCAUGCCCAUGACUUUUGAAAACAUUUAUCAUUCAAGAAAUUCAGUGUAUGUGCAGUGCCCUCAAUAAUGUUUGGGACAAAUACACAUUUUUACUUGAUUUAUCCCUCUGGUUCUCAGUUAAACAUUUUACACCAACAAUCCAGAUGUGAUUAAAGUGCACAUUCCAGACUAAUAAAGUUAUUUGCAUGUAUUUUGGUUUCACCAUGUUGAAAUUAGAACGCUUGGUGCGUUGGUUUGAAGACCGCUGCUGACAUUCUUUUUUUAUACCACGUCAACAUGGUACAUAUGUACACGUCAAGUAAAGUCUUUGAGUACUGAGACAUACCCAGGCUAAUACCUUUCCCAUCAAGGGCAAAGGGCUCAGUCUGUGAUGCAUUAGUGUGUGUUGCUGUAUCGUGUCUCUUGUGUUGUUAUCAUAUUGUAACAAGACAGCAUUUCAGCUUUGAAUCAUGACCACUGAUACCCAACGUGUAAAAAUUUCAACAAAGAGGUUUGUUGUUUUGUCUGAUGUGCUGAAUAUAAAACAUGGAACAAGUGAAGUAAAAGGUAACAAUCUGUGUAAAUUUAUCACUAAGUUGUAAAAGUUUGUGCUAAAAGGGAAAUUAUUUAUGCAUAUGCAUUAUAAAUGUGUCACAAAAGAAUUAAAUAAAAUGUCAUCUUAAAGUGUGCCCAGCAUGUUAUAGAAUGUGUAAUGCUGAACUAUUAGAUGCUAUAAACAGAAAAGUUCUCAGUGUGUGUCUCUGUGUUUGCGUAUGUGUGUUGUCAACAUCAUACAUUUAGUGUGGUCUUGUGGACAAUGCUAAAAGAAAUAUUUUAUAUAUUAACUUGAAGAGUAGAAUGUGUAAAGACCAUAUAAAGUCCAAACAUAAGACGGUACAAACAUAAGGUGUGAGGCUGAAGGUUUAGCCCAGCUAUUCCCCAGCCCUGGUCUCACUCCCUGUCAUUUUUCUGUCCUAAUACGCUUGUGGCUAUUGUAUGGCACACACAGACAGGUGAAUGCAACACAGCUUACAGAGUGUCGGUCCUGAUAGCUCCAUGCAUGAGACGUGACUGUGGACCACUGUGGGUGCGGUAGUGUAAUGUAUAAGAUUUCCCAUAAUGUCUUGCUGCCAUAUACUGGAGCCUGGCUCAGUCCCUUUGCUCUUUCAGAACAAAAGCACAUGGUAUAGAGUCUGUUGCGGAAAAUGCUGGACAAGUGAUGCAUGUGUUGAUAAAAUCUUCUGUCCUAUAAUUAAAUUCCUAUAAACGUUUCCUUUUUUACGGCUUUUUCCCAUAUAACACACUGCGGCUGCAGUCAGGCGUGUCACUUCGUGGACGGAGGGGAUUCUGCUUUAACCCUUUUGGACAG